AUCCCACCACCUGGAGAAAACCACAGGAACCCUUUAUAGGAUAGCUUCUCAUUCUUUCUGUGCAAAAAUAUAAAUAUUUUAGUAUUUUAUAAACAUAUGAUUAUAACCUCCAUGUUGUUUUUUAACUUGUUUUUUAAAAUUGUAAUCAACAAUAUAUUGUGAGCAUUAUACAAAUAUAUUUUCACCUAUGACAUCAUUUUAAAUGAAUGAAUAGAAUUACAUUCUACAGAUAUAUUAUAAUUUUUUUUGAUAUAUUAUAAUUUACUUAAACAAUUACCUCAUUACCAGGCAAGACUUUGAAAUCUAUUGCUAUAUUCUUUUUUUUUUUUAUUGCUAUAUUCUAAUAACCAGUUGGAAACUUCUAUUUCAGAUAAAUACAUUUUGGCUCUCUCAGCCUGCCGGACCCCUGGCAUGAAUCAAGGAGAAGUAGCUCAGGAGACUGCUAGCAAGCUCUGCCUCUCUGGAGGGAGGCAGAGUGGAAAUGCCCCGCAGCUCUGGCUCCUGGGCGGCUCACGGCAGGCACAGGUGAGGCCUGGGAUCUGGACGGCUGGCGAUGGUGUGGUGGAGGAGAGCCCUGGGUGCAGGUGAGUGUCUGGACCCAUAGGACUUCUUCCCACGGGAACAAAGAAGCCC
rnacentral:lncRNA from 1 species